rnacentral:rRNA from 1 species
GAUGAACGCUGGCGGCGUGCUUAACACAUGCAAGUCGAACGGUGAACACGGAGCUUGCUCUGUGGGAUCAGUGGCGAACGGGUGAGUAACACGUGAGCAACCUGCCCCUGACUCUGGGAUAAGCGCUGGAAACGGCGUCUAAUACUGGAUAUGUGACGUGACCGCAUGGUCUGCGUUUGGAAAGAUCUUUCGGUUGGGGAUGGGCUCGCGGCCUAUCAGCUUGUUGGUGAGGUAAUGGCUCACCAAGGCGUCGACGGGUAGCCGGCCUGAGAGGGUGACCGGCGACACUGGGAUUGAGACACGGCCCAGACUCCUACGGGAGGCAGCAGUGGAGAAUAUUGCACAAUGGGCGAAAGCCUGAUGCAGCAACGCCGCGUGAGGGAUGACGGCCUUCGAGUUGUAAACCUUUUUUAGCAGGGAAGAAGCGAAAGUGACGGUACCUGCAGAAAAAGCGCCGGCUAACUACGUG